GGUUCGAUGGCGUAGUUGGUUAUCGCAUCUGUCUAACAAGCUGCCGCGAAAUUUCAUGUUACACAGAAGGUCCCCAGUUCGAGCCUGGGUCGAAUCA